UUGAUGACAUGGUCUUGACCUUGUCCAAACAUCGGGGCGUGAGGUGGACCCAUUUGGACUGCUAUUGUUUCUUUUGACUCGAGUAUUUUUCUGUAUUAUUCCUUUGGGCGGAUUAUUUCUGUUUUGUUUUAAAAUUGGCUCGAAAAAAACGAAGAUAACAAUAGGCGGGCGUCCGUAUGGAGUAACUGUACAUAAUGGGUUUUACCAUAUGUUCGCAUAUAUAGAUGCAGUGCCUCAAUUAUUGAAAAGCCAACUUUCCUGGCGUUCAUGAAAAGUUUUGUUAAAACAAGCUCAAGCGCAAGACAUAGGAAUCAAGUGGCAAACUUUCAGCCCAAACAACGAAUAAUUGUUGAAAGCCUCACCAACAAGGUACAGUAGCUGCAGGCUAUAGCUGGCGAGCCACUACCCAGUGACAAAGACCUCAAGACCAACAACCACGAAGUGCCUGACAGCAUAAAACAUAAAGAAAAGGUUAAUAUAUACAGAGCACAAAAAAAUUUCGAAGAAUCGUCUUGGAUAAAUGUCUUAAGCAUAAUAGAAAAAAAAGGAAAAGCAGCCUUUGUGCAGUUUGAACGAAGAUUAUAUCAGAUAAAACGGAGUCUAGUAUUAUUUGCGAUCGUUGCCUGAAAUUGUCACAUUUAUCGUGUACAUUCUUAAAAGCAAUGCCGGAAAACAAGAAACUGGUUCUGUUAGUAAUUAAAACUUAAGUACAAGUAACAACACAAGUACAUUAAGGCCUGGGUCAAAAAUUAUAAAAUGCCCCCCGCAAAGAGAAGUAGACCUUCUAGGCAAGUACUUCAUAUAAGCGUAAUUUACCUGUACGGCUAGGGGUAUUUGUUGUACACGCCGUCAUUGGGGAAUUUCAUAAAUAUUAGCCGAAAAACAAAAAUGGCGCCCACGAGGUGAAAAUGUUUCGAGUGUGUUUGAAAACCUUUUUCUUGUUCCAACUUUACAUUGUCUAAACCAAUUGCUUGGACUUCAUUCUCACAAGAUUAACAGCAGGUCUGCUCUUAAGGGAAUAUAAUCUACCAGCAGAUUUAAUUAUGAAAGAAUCGCGACUUUAUUCCACUCGUCAACAAAAUUGGAGAAUUUGGGGAGCUGAAUUGGGCACCAUAAGCCCCGGCAAUCUAUUAAAACGGUAAGUUUAAACCUGUUGACCGUAUUUAAAAUGUGCUAACAUUGAAAAAGAAUGUUUUUGUGCUAGUUAACUGAGUGCAAACAACAGCUUACUACAAAAAAUAAAAAUUUGGUUAUACUGGUUAUACUUGGUUUUAAUAAAAGCUGGUUUUGGUAUGAAUCUUAUGAUUUUGAUUUAUCUGUUCAUGCCAUGUAAAUGGUCAUUUUCCAUGCAUUCAGUAGAUGCUCUGAAAUCUUGAGUGAUGCUUUUUUUGACAGGCGCUCAUCUUCACUUAGAGAGGUGGCGGUAGAGUGAGAGAGUUCCUGGUGUUUCUUUCUGUAAGCCUUCAGGACCUCGACCUGGAUGUGAGCAAGGUGACAACUUCUUCUGCAAACCAGCUUGAAGGACAAGGAGCAGAACAUCUGCGAAACUCUUAGAGAAACUUUCUUUGCACUUGGCAUCAAAUUUCUGAUAGAUUUCUGUACCAAUUUUUCUGAGUAUCUUGUUGUUUGGAGUAAGUGGAAUAGAGUUUUGUUCUGAGAAAUAGUAGUUAACUUGAGUAGGCAGUUUUCCAAAUGGAGAUGAGAGUUUUGGGUUGGUGAGAUUCAUUUGUUUGGCUAGAAACAUUUUUUGAUACUUGAAAAGGAAGUCUCUACAACAGAUACAAUGUCCCAGGGUGUGUAGUUUUUUACGGUACUCAGGGGAGGCAUCCCACUCUGAUGUUGAGAAUUUUUCUAGAUAUUGCUUCUUACAGUUAGCACCACUCCACCAUGUUAACACUUUAUCAAGGCUAUGGCAGCAGCGGUAGAAGUUCUCUGAAAGCCAGUAUUAAAUUAGAAUUGUUUAUUACUUUCUGCCUACUGAUAUUUUACUUCAUUUUACUUUAUUCUAAUUCUCUCAAUAAAAAAAACUAAACAUU